rnacentral:tmRNA from 1 species
GGGGGCGACAUGGCUUCGACGCAGGUCAUGAAGCUUAAGGAGCAUGCCGGGGCGCCCGAUGGUCCUCGUUAAAAACGGGCAACUCAGUAAUUGGCAACGAUUACGCUCUUGCUGCCUAAUUAAAUAGGCAGCCGCCGACCUUGCAAUGGAUGGCGUUGCUUGGAAGGCGUCACUGAGCCAUCUCGGCAAGAGGCUGUUCUUCUCAGGGCCUUUUGCUUAAAUCUUUCUGGGAAGGGAGCUCUAAAGAGUUUGUUUGUGGACGCUUUAGAGCCGACCUAAAAACACAAACUAAGCAUGUAGCGCCUUAAAGCGGAUAACCUGCGGACGCGGGUUCGAUUCCCGCCGCCUCCACCA